UACGUAGGCAGCAAGCGUUGUUCGGAGUUACUGGGCGUAAAGGGUGUGUAGGCGGUUCCUUAAGUUUGCUGUGAAAUCUCCCGGCUUAACCGGGAGGGUGCGGUGAAUACUGAGGGACUAGAGUACGGGAGAGGAAAGUGGAAUUCCUGGUGUAGCGGUGAAGUGCGUAGAUAUCAGGAGGAACACCGGUGGUGUAGACGGCUUUCUGGACCGUAACUGACGCUGAGACACGAAAGCGUGGGUAGCAAACAGG
rnacentral:rRNA from 1 species